UGGGGAAUAUUGCACAAUGGGCGCAAGCCUGAUGCAGCCAUGCCGCGUGUAUGAAGAAGGCCUUCGGGUUGUAAAGUACUUUCAGUUGGGAGGAAGGUGGUAAGGUUAAUAACCUUAUCAAUUGACGUUACCGACAGAAGAAGCACCGGCUAACUCCGUGCCAGCAGCCGCGGUAAUACGGAGGGUGCAAGCGUUAAUCGGAAUUACUGGGCGUAAAGCGCACGCAGGCGGUUGAUUGAGUCAGAUGUGAAAUCCCCUGGCUUAACCCGGGAAUUGCAUCUGAUACUGGGCAGCUAGAGUCUUGAAGAGGGGGGUAGAAUUCCAUGUGUAGCGGUGAAAUGCGUAGAGAUGUGGAGGAAUACCGGUGGCGAAGGCGGCCCCCUGGACAAAGACUGACGCUCAGGUGCGAAAGCGUGGGGAGCAAACAGG
rnacentral:rRNA from 1 species